UACAGAGGUCCCAAGCGUUGUUCGGAUUCACUGGGCGUAAAGGGUGCGUAGGUGGUCGGGUAAGUCUGAUGUGAAAUCUCCGAGCUUAACUCGGAAAUGGCAUUGGAUACUAUUCGGCUGGAGGUUUGGAGGGGGGACUGGAAUUCUCGGUGUAGCAGUGAAAUGCGUAGAUAUCGAGAGGAACACCAGUGGCGAAGGCGAGUCCCUGGACAACACCUGACACUGAGGCACGAAAGCCAGGGGAGCAAACGGG
rnacentral:rRNA from 1 species